UGCCAAUGUAUCAAUGGCCGCGGUAUCCUGUCCGUGCGAGGUAGCAUAAUCAUUAGUCUCUUAUUAGAGGCUGGUAUGAACGGUUUAACGAGAAGUGACUGUCUCUCAUAUUGAAUUUUAUUUUUAGGUGAAAAAGCCUAAAUAAUUCUGGAGGACGAUAAGACCCUAUAGAGCUUUUCUGUUGGGGCGACAAAAAGACAAAAUUCAACUCUUUAUUAAAAUUGAUCCUUAAAGAAAGAUCAUAUGAACAAGUUACCUUAGGGAUAACAGCGUAAUCCUUUUUGAGAGUUCACAUCGACAAAAGGGUUUGCGACCUCGAUGUUGGAUUAAGAAUUUGCUGGGGUGUAGCAGCUCCAGUAAAAGGUCUGUUCGA
rnacentral:rRNA from 1 species